AUACGUAGGUGGCAAGCGUUGUCCGGAAUUAUUGGGCGUAAAGCGCGCGCAGGUGGUUCCUUAAGUCUGAUGUGAAAGCCCCCGGCUCAACCGGGGAGGGUCAUUGGAAACUGGGGAACUUGAGUGCAGAAGAGGAAAGUGGAAUUCCAAGUGUAGCGGUGAAAUGCGUAGAGAUUUGGAGGAACACCAGUGGCGAAGGCGACUUUCUGGUCUGUAACUGACGCUGAGGCGCGAAAGCGUGGGGAGCAAACAGGAUUAGAUACCCUGGUAGUCCACGCCGUAAACGAUGAGUGCUAAGUGUUAGGGGGUUUCCGCCCCUUAGUGCUGCAGCUAACGCAUUAAGCACUCCGCCUGGGGAGUACGGUCGCAAGACUGAAACUCAAAGGAAUUGACGGGG
rnacentral:rRNA from 1 species